CUGAUUUGAUACAAUAGAAUUCUAUAAACAAGACGUUAAUAUUAAGUGUUUUGACGUUGUCUGACUAUAACAGUAUUGCCUGAUUUUGCUCUAUUUCGUCAACGAAAAUAGUUU